rnacentral:rRNA from 1 species
GAUGAACGCUGGCGGCGUGCCUAAUACAUGCAAGUCGAGCGAACGGACGAGAAGCUUGCUUCUCUGAUGUUAGCGGCGGACGGGUGAGUAACACGUGGAUAACCUACCUAUAAGACUGGGAUAACUUCGGGAAACCGGAGCUAAUACCGGAUAAUAUUUUGAACCGCAUGGUUCAAAAGUGAAAGACGGUCUUGCUGUCACUUAUAGAUGGAUCCGCGCUGCAUUAGCUAGUUGGUAAGGUAACGGCUUACCAAGGCAACGAUGCAUAGCCGACCUGAGAGGGGGAUCGGCCACACUGGAACUGAGACACGGUCCAGACUCCUACGGGAGGCAGCAGUAGGGAAUCUUCCGCAAUGGGCGAAAGCCUGACGGAGCAACGCCGCGUGAGUGAUGAAGGUCUUCGGAUCGUAAAACUCUGUUAUUAGGGAAGAACAUAUGUGUAAGUAACUGUGCACAUCUGGACGGUACCUAAUCAGAAAGCCACGGCUAACUACGU